rnacentral:rRNA from 1 species
CCUACGGGUGGCAGCAGUGAGGAAUAUUGGUCAAUGGACGCAAGUCUGAACCAGCCAUGCCGCGUGCAGGAAGACGGCUCUAUGAGUUGUAAACUGCUUUUGUACGAGGGUAAACGCAGAUACGCGUAUCUGUCUGAAAGUAUCGUACGAAUAAGGAUCGGCUAACUCCGUGCCAGCAGCCGCGGUAAUACGGAGGAUUCAAGCGUUAUCCGGAUUUAUUGGGUUUAAAGGGUGCGUAGGCGGUCGGAUAAGUUAGAGGUGAAAUCCCGAGGCUCAACUUCGGAAUUGCCUCUGAUACUGUUCGGCGAGAGAGUAGUUGCGGUAGGCGGAAUGUAUGGUGGAGCGGUGAAAUGCUUAGAGAUCAUACAGAACACCGAUUGCGAAGGCAGCUUACCAAGCUACUUCUGACGUUGAGGCACGAAAGCGUGGGGAGCAAACAGGAUUAGAUACCCGAGUAGUC